rnacentral:rRNA from 1 species
GUGCUUGCACCUGGUGGCGAGUGGCGAACGGGUGAGUAAUACAUCGGAACAUGUCCUGUAGUGGGGGAUAGCCCGGCGAAAGCCGGAUUAAUACCGCAUACGAUCUACGGAUGAAAGCGGGGGACCUUCGGGCCUCGCGCUAUAGGGUUGGCCGAUGGCUGAUUAGCUAGUUGGUGGGGUAAAGGCCUACCAAGGCGACGAUCAGUAGCUGGUCUGAGAGGACGACCAGCCACACUGGGACUGAGACACGGUCCAGACUCCUACGGGAGGCAGCAGUGGGGAAUUUUGGACAAUGGGCGAAAGCCUGAUCCAGCAAUGCCGCGUGUGUGAAGAAGGCCUUCGGGUUGUAAAGCACUUUUGUCCGGAAAGAAAUCCUUGGUUCUAAUAUAGCCGGGGGAUGACGGUACCGGAAGAAUAAGCACCGGCUAACUACGUGCCAGCAGCCGCGGUAAUACGUAGGGUGCGAGCGUUAAUCGGAAUUACUGGGCGUAAAGCGUGCGCAGGCGGUUUGCUAAGACCGAUGUGAAAUCCCCGGGCUCAACCUGGGAACUGCAUUGGUGACUGGCAGGCUAGAGUAUGGCAGAGGGGGGUAGAAUUCCACGUGUAGCAGUGAAAUGCGUAGAGAUGUGGAGGAAUACCGAUGG